GACGAACGCUGACGGCGUGCUUAACACAUGCAAGUCGAACGGAAAGGCCCUGCUUUUGUGGGGUGCUCGAGUGGCGAACGGGUGAGUAACACGUGAGUAACCUGCCCUUGACUUUGGGAUAACUUCAGGAAACUGGGGCUAAUACCGGAUAGGAGCUCCUGCUGCAUGGUGGGGGUUGGAAAGUUUCGGCGGUUGGGGAUGGACUCGCGGCUUAUCAGCUUGUUGGCGGGGUAGUGGCUUACCAAGGCUUUGACGGGUAGCCGGCCUGAGAGGGUGACCGGCCACAUUGGGACUGAGAUACGGCCCAGACUCCUACGGGAGGCAGCAGUGGGGAAUAUUGCACAAUGGGCGGAAGCCUGAUGCAGCAACGCCGCGUGCGGGAUGACGGCCUUCGGGUUGUAAACCGCUUUCGCCUGUGACGAAGCGUGAGUGACGGUAAUGGGUAAAGAAGCACCGGCUAACUACGUG
rnacentral:rRNA from 1 species